AGCGAACGCUGGCGGCAGGCCUAACACAUGCAAGUCGAACGAACUCUUCGGAGUUAGUGGCGGACGGGUGAGUAACACGUGGGAACGUGCCUUUUGGUUCGGAAUAACUCAGGGAAACUUGUGCUAAUACCGAAUGUGCCCUUCGGGGGAAAGAUUUAUCGCGAUUAGAGCGGCCCGCGUCUGAUUAGCUAGUUGGUGAGGUAACGGCUCACCAAGGCGACGAUCAGUAGCUGGUCUGAGAGGAUGACCAGCCACACUGGGACUGAGACGCGGCGCAGACUCUUGCGGGAUGCGGCAGUGGGGAAUCUUGCGCAAUGGGCGAAAGGCUGACGCAGCCAUGCCGGGUGAAUGAUGAAGGUCGGAAGAUAGUAAAAUUCUUUCACCGGGGGCGAUAAUGACGGUACCCGAAGAAGAAGCCCCGGCUAACUUCGUG
rnacentral:rRNA from 1 species